CAAAGGUAACGACUGCGCCCAAUUGCUUCACGAUGGUCAACUUUACACGUUAUCUUGCAGCGAGGUUAACCCACCCAUCUGUCAAAAAGGCAAGGCCAGAGAUUCCUUCGAGUUUCGUUUGGCGCCGACAUCAGAAUCAGGACCAAUCAUUCCUGAGCCAACAUGUAACGCAAAAGUCGGAUGGACUCUUCACGGCUCCCACUGCUACAAGAAGAUGGCGCCAAC